AUGAACGCUAGCUACAGGCUUAACACAUGCAAGUCGAGGGGCAGCAUGGUCUUAGCUUGCUAAGGCCGAUGGCGACCGGCGCACGGGUGAGUAACACGUAUCCAACCUGCCGUCUACUCUUGGACAGCCUUCUGAAAGGAAGAUUAAUACAAGAUGGCAUCAUGAGUCCACAUGUUCACAUGAUUAAAGGUAUUCCGGUAGACGAUGGGGAUGCGUUCCAUUAGAUAGUAGGCGGGGUAACGGCCCACCUAGUCUUCGAUGGAUAGGGGUUCUGAGAGGAAGGUCCCCCACAUUGGAACUGAGACACGGUCCAAACUCCUACGGGAGGCAGCAGUGAGGAAUAUUGGUCAAUGGGCGAGAGCCUGAACCAGCCAAGUAGCGUGAAGGAUGACUGCCCUAUGGGUUGUAAACUUCUUUUAUAAAGGAAUAAAGUCGGGUAUGGAUACCCGUUUGCAUGUACUUUAUGAAUAAGGAUCGGCUAACUCCGUGCCAGCAGCCGCGGUAAUACGGAGGAUCCGAGCGUUAUCCGGAUUUAUUGGGUUUAAAGGGAGCGUAGAUGGAUGUUUAAGUCAGUUGUGAAAGUUUGCGGCUCAACCGUAAAAUUGCAGUUGAUACUGGAUAUCUUGAGUGCAGUUGAGGCAGGCGGAAUUCGUGGUGUAGCGGUGAAAUGCUUAGAUAUCACGAAGAACUCCGAUUGCGAAGGCAGCCUGCUAAGCUGCAACUGACAUUGAGGCUCGAAAGUGUGGGUAUCAAACAGGAUUAGAUACCCUGGUAGUCCACACGGUAAACGAUGAAUACUCGCUGUUUGCGAUAUACUGCAAGCGGCCAAGCGAAAGCGUUAAGUAUUCCACCUGGGGAGUACGCCGGCAACGGUGAAACUCAAAGGAAUUGACGGGGGCCCGCACAAGCGGAGGAACAUGUGGUUUAAUUCGAUGAUACGCGAGGAACCUUACCCGGGCUUAAAUUGCAGAUGAAUUACGGUGAAAGCCGUAAGCCGCAAGGCAUCUGUGAAGGUGCUGCAUGGUUGUCGUCAGCUCGUGCCGUGAGGUGUCGGCUUAAGUGCCAUAACGAGCGCAACCCUUGUUGUCAGUUACUAACGGUCAUGCUGAGGACUCUGACAAGACUGCCAUCGUAAGAUGUGAGGAAGGUAGGGAUGACGUCAAAUCAGCACGGCCCUUACGUCCGGGGCUACACACGUGUUACAAUGGGGGGUACAGAGGGCCGCUACCACGCGAGUGAAUGCCAAUCCCAAAAACCUCUCUCAGUUCGGACUGGAGUCUGCAACCCGACUCCACGAAGCUGGAUUCGCUAGUAAUCGCGCAUCAGCCACGGCGCGGUGAAUACGUUCCCGGGCCUUGUACACACCGCCCGUCAAGCCAUGGGAGCCGGGGGUACCUGAAGUGCGUAACCGCGAGGAGCGCCCUAGGGUAAAACUGGUGACUGGGGCU
rnacentral:rRNA from 1 species